rnacentral:rRNA from 1 species
AGUGAACGCUGGCGGUAGGCCUAACACAUGCAAGUCGAACGGCAGCACAGUAAGAGCUUGCUCUUACGGGUGGCGAGUGGCGGACGGGUGAGGAAUACAUCGGAAUCUACUUUUUCGUGGGGGAUAACGUAGGGAAACUUACGCUAAUACCGCAUACGACCUACGGGUGAAAGCAGGGGAUCUUCGGACCUUGCGCGAUUGAAUGAGCCGAUGUCGGAGUAGCUAGUUGGCGGGGUAAAGGCCCACCAAGGCGACGAUCCGUAGCUGGUCUGAGAGGAUGAUCAGCCACACUGGAACGUAGCCACGGUCCAGACUCCUACGGGAGGCAGCAGUGGGGAAUAUUGGACAAUGGGCGCAAGCCUGAUCCAGCCAUACCGCGUGGGUGAAGAAGGCCUUCGGGUUGUAAAGCCCUUUUGUUGGGAAAGAAAAGCAGCAGGUUAAUACCCCGCUGUUCUGACGGUACCCAAAGAAUAAGCACCGGCUAACUUCGUG